CCGGGAAAACAGCCUCCCGGCCUGCAUAACCAGACGGUGUCCCGUCCAAGCGCUG
ncrna:Variovorax paradoxus S110 chromate-resist RNA